rnacentral:rRNA from 1 species
GGAGAGGAGAGUGGAAUUCCUAGUGUAGCGGUGAAAUGCGUAGAGAUUAGGAAGAACACCAGUGGCGAAGGCGACUCUCUGGACUGUAACUGACGCUGAGGCUCGAAAGCGUGGGGAGCAAACAGGAUUAGAUACCCUGGUAGUCCACGCGUAAACGAUGAAUACUAGGUGUGGGGGUUUCAACACCUCCGUGCCGCCGCUAACGCAUUAAGUAUUCCGCCUGGGGAGUACGGUCGCAAGAUUAAAACUCAAAGGAAUUGACGGGGACCCGCACAAGUAGCGGAGCAUGUGGUUUAAUUCGAAGCAACGCGAAGAACCUUACCUACACUUGACAUCCCUUGCAUUACUCUUAAUCGAGGAAAUCCCUUCGGGGACAAGGUGACAGGUGGUGCAUGGUUGUCGUCAGCUCGUGUCGUGAGAUGUUGGGUUAAGUCCCGCAACGAGCGCAACCCUUGUCGUUAGUUACUACCAUUAAGUUGAGGACUCUAGCGAGACUGCCUGGGUUAACCAGGAGGAAGGUGGGGAUGACGUCAAAUCAUCAUGCCCCUUAUGUGUAGGGCUACACACGUGCUACAAUGGCUGGUACAGAGAGAUGCAAUACCGCGAGGUGGAGCCAAACUUAAAAACCAGUCUCAGUUCGGAUUGUAGGCUGAAACUCGCCUACAUGAAGCUGGAGUUACUAGUAAUCGCGAAUCAGAAUGUCGCGGUGAAUACGUUCCCGGGUCUUGUACACACCGCCCGUCACACCAUGAGAGUUGGCAAUACCCGAAGUCCGUGAGCUAACCGCAAGGAGGCAGCGGCCGAAGGUAGGGUCAGCGAUUGGGGUGAAGUCGUAACAAGGUAGCCGUAGGAGAACCUGCGGCUG